rnacentral:rRNA from 1 species
AUUGAACGCUGGCGGCAGGCCUAACACAUGCAAGUCGAACGGUAACAGGAAGAAGCUUGCUUCUUUGCUGACGAGUGGCGGACGGGUGAGUAAUGUCUGGGAAACUGCCUGAUGGAGGGGGAUAACUACUGGAAACGGUAGCUAAUACCGCAUAACGUCGCAAGACCAAAGAGGGGGACCUUCGGGCCUAUUGCCAUCGGAUGUGCCCAGAUGGGAUUAGCUAGUAGGUGGGGUAACGGCUCACCUAGGCGACGAUCCCUAGCUGGUCUGAGAGGAUGACCAGCCACACUGGAACUGAGACACGGUCCAGACUCCUACGGGAGGCAGCAGUGGGGAAUAUUGCACAAUGGGCGCAAGCCUGAUGCAGCCAUGCCGCGUGUAUGAAGAAGGCCUUCGGGUUGUAAAGUACUUUCAGCGGGGAGGAAGGGAGUAAAGUUAAUACCUUUGCUCAUUGACGUUACCCGCAGAAGAAGCACCGGCUAACUCCGUG